rnacentral:rRNA from 1 species
GACGAACGCUGGCGGCGUGCUUAACACAUGCAAGUCGAACGGAGCGAAUGAAAGCUUGCUUUUAUAAGCUUAGUGGCAAACGGGUGAGUAACACGUAGACAACCUGCCGACAGGAUGGGGACAACAUUCCGAAAGGAAUGCUAAUACCGAAUGAAGUCAGAGAAGAGCAUCCUUUUCUGAUGAAAGAUGGCCUCUAUAUAUAAGCUAUCACCUGUUGAUGGGUCUGCGUCUGAUUAGCUGGUAGGUGAGGUAACGGCUCACCUAGGCGACGAUCAGUAGCCGGUCUGAGAGGAUGAACGGCCACAUUGGGACUGAGACACGGCCCAGACUCCUACGGGAGGCAGCAGUGGGGAAUCUUCCGCAAUGGGCGCAAGCCUGACGGAGCAACGCCGCGUGAGUGAAGAAGGUCUUCGGAUCGUAAAGCUCUGUUGAUGGGGACGAACGUGCCUAAUGCGAAUAGUAUUAG